GGACUACCGGGGUUUCUAAUCCUGUUCGCUCCCCACGCUUUCGCUCCUCAGCGUCAGUAUCGGCCCAGAGACCCGCCUUCGCCACCGGUGUUCCUCCUGAUAUCUGCGCAUUUCACCGCUACACCAGGAAUUCCAGUCUCCCCUACCGAACUCUAGCCCGCCCGUAUCGACCGCAAGCCCCAAGUUAAGCCUGGAGUUUUCACGGUCGACGCGACGAGCCGCCUACGAGCUCUUUACGCCCAAUAAAUCCGGACAACGCUCGCACCCUACGUCUUACCGCGGCUGCUGGCAC
rnacentral:rRNA from 1 species